AGCGAACGCAGGCGGCAGGCCUAACACAUGCAAGUCGAGCGCCGUAGCAAUACGGAGCGGCAGACGGGAGAGUAACACGUGGGAACGUACCCUUUGGUUCGGAACAACCCAGGGAAACUUGGGCUAAUACCGGAUAAGCCCUUACGGGGAAAGAUUCAUCGCCGAAGGAUCGGCCCGCGUCUGAUUAGCUAGUUGGUGGGGUAAUGGCCCACCAAGGCGACGAUCAGUAGCUGGUCUGAGAGGAUGAUCAGCCUCACUGGGACUGAGACACGGCCCAGACUCCUACGGGAGGCAGCAGUGGGGAAUAUUGGACAAUGGGCGCAAGCCUGAUCCAGCCAUGCCGCGUGGGUGAUGAAGGCCCUAGGGUUGUAAAGCCCUUUCGGCGGGGAAGAUAAUGACGGUACCCGCAGAAGAAGCCCCGGCUAACUUCGUGCCAGCCGCCGCCGUAAUAC
rnacentral:rRNA from 1 species